GACCUUUGUGGCUGGGGGAGGGGCUGAGGAAGGUGGCCCCCACAUAGCCUCACCAAGGCCUGUAUUCUGAGGUCAUAAUUUAGUACUCAGAUCCCAAGGUAGGAGAGUAAAGGCCAAUGGCAGUGUCAGCAGCAGGAUUGUGAUGUUAUUGUGGAGAUGAGGCCACACUACCUUCAGAGCUCCUGGCCCUGGACGUCCUGUGACCAGGCAGGUCCACCACAGCAGAGGCCACCCGGAGGGAGGCCCAUGUCUAAAAAGGACACGGAAGUCCAUCCUUCUUUGGAGUGGCUAAUUGACACAGCUCUAACCAAUGAGAUGGAAGUGAAAAUCUGUUGGAGAGUUUUUGAAAAGUUUGCUUUCAUCAUUAAAGAAGACAUACAUCUUUCCUUUUGUGGACACAGGCCUGAUUGUUGGCGCUUCAGCAACUAUCUGGGUCAGAACUAGAGGUGGUGGAGUGAACACCAUACCAGGCAAUGGAAGCAGCACUGGCCUAGACCAAGCUUGAGCAUGCACCACCGUCACCUGGAGGGCUUGUUCCAACGUGGAUGGCUGGACCCACCCCCAGAGUUUCGGAUUUAUUAGGUCUGUGCUGGGCCCUGAGAAUGUUUAUUUAAAACAAAUUUCUGGAUGCUACUGGUUCAGUUGCCACACUCAGACCUGCUGGCCUUGAGCUUGGAAGAUGUGGGUUUUAUUCCUGGAUUCCACAGUUUACUAUCUAUCACUUAGAGAAUGUAAAUUACUUACCUAAGUCUUGGUUUCUUAUUUGCAAACUAGCUGUUCUACCCAUUUUAUAAGACUUUUGUAAAGAUAAAAUAAAAGAAUACA
rnacentral:lncRNA from 1 species